rnacentral:rRNA from 1 species
GAGUUUGAUCGUGGCUCAGAACGAACGCUGGCGGCAUGGAUUAGGCAUGCAAGUCGAACGGACGUAGCAAUACGUUAGUGGCGAAAGGGUGAGGAACGCGUGAGCAACCUGCCCCCAAGUUGGGAAUAACAGCUGGAAACGGCUGCUAAUACCUGAUGUGGUAGUAAAGUGGCAUCACAUUACUACUAAAGAUUUAUCGCUUGGGGAUGGGCUCGCGUCCCAUUAGCUAGUUGGUGAGGUAACGGCUCACCAAGGCAACGAUGGGUAGCUGGUCUGAGAGGAUGGUCAGCCACACUGGGACUGAGAUACUGCCCAGACUCCUACGGGAGGCUGCAGUCGAGAAUCUUCCGCAAUGCGCGAAAGCGUGACGGAGCGAUGCCGCGUGCCGGAUGAAGGUCUUCGGAUCGUAAACGGCUGUCACCCGGGACGAAUAAAUGGACGGUACCGGGGAAGAAGCCACGGGCUAACUACGUGCCAGCCGCCGCCGUAAU